rnacentral:sRNA from 1 species
UAACAUGUGAACAUGUUUUUUUAAUUCUGC